AACGAACGCUGGCGGCGCGCCUAAUACAUGCAAGUCGAGCGAGAAGACGUAGCAAUACGUUUGUAAAGCGGCGAACGGGUGAGGAAUACAUGGGUAACCUACCCUCGAGUGGGGAAUAACUAGCCGAAAGGUUAGCUAAUACCGCGUACGCUCCUUGGACUUCGGUUCAGGGAGGAAAGCGAUACCGUGGGUAUCGCGCUCUUGGAUGGGCUCAUGUCCUAUCAGCUUGUUGGUGAGGAACGGCUCACCAAGGCUUCGACGGGUAGCUGGUCUGAGAGGACGAUCAGCCACACUGGCACUGCGACACGGGCCAGACUCCUACGGGAGGCAGCAGUAAGGAAUAUUGCGCAAUGGGCGAAAGCCUGACGCAGCGACGCCGCGUGGGGGAGUGAAGGUCUUCGGAUUGUAAACCCCUUUACCGGGUGGGAAGAUGGAACGAGCAAUCGUUCGGACGGUACCUCCA
rnacentral:rRNA from 1 species